ensembl:snRNA U6 U6 spliceosomal RNA
GUGCUUGCUUCAGCAGCACUUAUGCUAAAAUUGGAAUAAUACAAGAAGAUUAGCACAGCCUCUGCACAAGAAUGACAGACAUUGGUAGCAGUGAGAAUGUAAACUGGU